rnacentral:lncRNA from 1 species
AAAAGAAUGACAAGAAUCUACAGUGGAACACUGAGGGAAAAAAUGGCCUGUGUGUGUGGUCAGUGCUUCCUCAUCCUCUAAGGAAAAAUAGCAUAUGUACAUUGAAAUAUUUAACAGAUCUCUCCAUGAGUGGACAGACAGUGAAGCCACAGCCUCAGAGAUGCUACUUGAUUUUUCCUGUCCUGCUCUGAUGGAUCUUGUAAGAAUGGAGCAAAAGCCAAAAAGUCACUUCAAAUAAACUAGGACACAUUCUAAGAUGGUGCACUCUACUAACAAAAGAGGCAUAAAGAAGGGGAUAUCAUACUAGUGGGACUAAUAAUUAGAAUCAUCUUUCUACAAAAAAAAAAAUUGAAAACAGUAGUUAAAGGUACAAAGAAUACAUUUCCUUUGAUCUAC